CAGAAGGGAGACAAAAAGAGAGAGAGAGAGCAGCAGAGCAUGGAGCUGUCUGCUCUUUGCAGGCCCUCUUCCCAGCAGGGGCUGGUUUGAUAGCUUAGAAAAGUUACUCUCAAGUCUCCACCUCCUUGUGGAUUCCGUAAGGACUGAGUUACAGUUUUUGUACUUGCGGUUAAAAGGAAAGGAAAACAUGGAAACAACACAACUGAGUUUGCAUUCUUCAGAAUUGUAUGCUGUGCUUGUUGAGCUGAGAGUUAGCUAUUUUGCCGUGGAGUGUGUAAGGCCUGAUAGCCACCCUCAAAGGAGUCACAGCCUGAGGGAUUCAACAAUGAAAACAAUUACAACGCCCCCUGGUACUUGUCAUCCUGGAAGCCGCUGGGACAAGAAAAGCGGAAGCUGGAUCUGAGACUUGACCAGAAGAUGCAGCAUCAUAAGGACAUUUCUAGCAAUGGAAAUCAGGUGCCGAAGAGCACGGGGGUGCGUGAAGUCAUGUGGUGGUUUAAGAGAAGUAACAGAAGGUGUGAGAGUCAGGUUUGGGAUGGUGUGACGAUCCGGUUCCUGGCUUCUGCUACCUUUGGUAAUCCUGCAAGCCUGACUUACUUUAUCUUUCUUAAAUUUCUAUUUCCUCUGUGAUAACAUGAGGAUAAACUCAUUUCUCUGUCAUGGAGUUUUUGGUGAUGUUCCCUAUUAAUUUUGUGAAGGGCUUAGCAUUGUACCUAACAGUGUAUAGCAAAGUACCACUUAACGGACAAUAACUUAAUAGUAGUUCAGUACGAUUGAACCACAUGGCUGGAUCAAAAGCGGCCUUAUGGCAUGCUAAAGAGAAUCACUGAGUUCUCAAAUCGUACAAAAAUAUCUUUUGUCCUUUUAAGUCUUGCAAUGGAUUAGAAUUGAUUUGGGGCACUUACCCCUGAUGUUUAAAAGAAACAAAUACCUCAAAGAAAACAAACCUCAAAGAGAAAAGUGAAAAGCAUGUCUUUCUUACAAUGCUGCGAAGUGUAUUUAUACAAAUGGCUCAGAAAAAAAAUGCAUUUGCAAAGAAAGUGUGUGCUGUGAAGAGAACUCAGGGUGAUACUAAAACGCGUUUGCGUGCUGAUGGAAAUCACCCAGUGGGUAGGAAGAAACGGGUGCUGCAGGGAAGAGAGGAACUACAGGAGCAAAGCUGCCUGGGCCUUGACAGAAGAUGGGAUGCAGAGCACAGCGAGGGAGGGAGUCAGAGUGAGCCUUUGGUGCAAGCAGAGAGCCCACCCGGAGUUCCUAGGGACACUGCUGGCUUCUCACCUCGGGGCAGGAAUUCAGAGUUCCUGCAUGACUACUUCUCCUUUGGUAAGUCAAGUACAAAGCAAGAUGAGAGGAGCGAGUAGGAAGACGGUGAGGGGCUGAAAGAAGCUUGAAAGGCAAAGACAACUGUGAGGGAGUGCUUGAAACCCAGCGGGUGCCUUUCACAUGAGGACUGUGUUCCUUCAAGCCCUGGGGAGCGCACCUGCUUGUGGCUGGGCCCUUGGAAAGAGCACCGCGGGCCUCAGAUUGUUUUUCCCAGGACAGCACGCUAAUGCAGCUUGACUUUGGGAAGAACGUGAGUAGGGGACAAUGCUCAGUGAUACAAGCUUUGAUGUAGCUACCUGCAGAUCAUGAAAUGUGAAAAAAAUGAUAUUUGAGAUACACAACCCAGAGCACUUGCAUCUCUC
ensembl:lncRNA